UGGGCUUGACAUGUAUGGAUUAGCUCUUGGAAACAUGAGUGACGCCCUUUGGGUGGAACAUACACAGGUGCUGCAUGGCUGUCGUCAGCUCGUGCUGUGAAGUGUCGGGUUAAGUCCCUUAACGAGCGCAACCCUUAUCGCUAGUUGCCAGCGCGUCAUGGCGGGGACUCUAGCGAGACUGCCGGUGUCAAACCGGAGGAAGGUGGGGAUGACGUCAAGUCCUCAUGGCCCUUACGCCCAGGGUGGCAAACGUGCUACAAUGGCGUGUACAAAGCGAUGCAAUAUCGUGAGAUGGAGCAAAUCGCAAAAAGCACGCCCCAGUUCGGAUUGGAGUCUGCAACUCGACUCCAUGAAGCCGGAAUCGCUAGUAAUCGGAGAUCAGCCACGCUCCGGUGAAUACGUUCCUGAGCCUUGUACACACCGCCCGUCAAGUCAUGGAAGCCGGGAGUGCCCGAAGUCGCUCUGAUUCAGGAGUGCCCACGGCAAGUUCGGUAACUGGGACUAAGUCGUAACAAGGUAGCCGUAGGAGAACCUGCGGCUGGAUCACC
rnacentral:rRNA from 14 species